rnacentral:rRNA from 1 species
CGUGGGCAAUCUGCCCUUCACUCUGGGACAAGCCCUGGAAACGGGGUCUAAUACCGGAUAACACUCUGUCCCGCAUGGGACGGGGUUAAAAGCUCCGGCGGUGAAGGAUGAGCCCGCGGCCUAUCAGCUUGUUGGUGGGGUAAUGGCCUACCAAGGCGACGACGGGUAGCCGGCCUGAGAGGGCGACCGGCCACACUGGGACUGAGACACGGCCCAGACUCCUACGGGAGGCAGCAGUGGGGAAUAUUGCACAAUGGGCGAAAGCCUGAUGCAGCGACGCCGCGUGAGGGAUGACGGCCUUCGGGUUGUAAACCUCUUUCAGCAGGGAAGAAGCGAAAGUGACGGUACCUGCAGAAGAAGCGCCGGCUAACUACGUGCCAGCAGCCGCGGUAAUACGUAGGGCGCAAGCGUUGUCCGGAAUUAUUGGGCGUAAAGAGCUCGUAGGCGGCUUGUCACGUCGGAUGUGAAAGCCCGGGGCUUAACCCCGGGUCUGCAUUCGAUACGGGCUAGCUAGAGUGUGGUAGGGGAGAUCGGAAUUCCUGGUGUAGCGGUGAAAUGCGCAGAUAUCAGGAGGAACACCGGUGGCGAAGGCGGAUCUCUGGGCCAUUACUGACGCUGAGGAGCGAAAGCGUGGGGAGCGAACAGGAUUAGAUACCCUGGUAGUCCACGCCGUAAACGUUGGGAACUAGGUGUUGGCGACAUUCCACGUCG